GAUGAAGAACGCAGCGAAAUGCGAUAAGUAAUGUGAAUUGCAGAAUUCAGUGAAUCAUCGAAUCUUUGAACGCACAUUGCGCCCGCCAGUAUUCUGGCGGGCAUGCCAGUUCGAGCGUCAUUACAACCCUCAGGCCCCCGGGCCUGGCGUUGGGGAUCGGCGGAAGCCCCCUGCGGGCACAACGCCGUCCCCCAAAUACAGUGGCGGUCCCGCCGCAGCUUCCAUUGCGUAGUAGCUAACACCUCGCAACUGGAGAGCGGCGCGGCCACGCCGUAAAACACCCAACUUCUGAAUGUUGACCUCGAAUCAGGUAGGAAUACCCGCUGAACUUAAGCAUAUCAAUAAGCGGAGGA
rnacentral:misc_RNA from 1 species